CGUAGGCUUCAGCCACGUGGCGGGACGUCUCACGGCUGAGUUUAUUUCUAAGCUUUCACCUUGAGUUUUCAGAAUGUUUUCAGAUGAGCCUGAUCUUGUUGAAUGAGAAAGGCCACUGUCUCUGGGCAAUGAACUUGUCUCUCAGACGCACACCAGCAAGACGAUUCAUGGAUCUACAGUAACAGACAGAGUUACCACAUGAGAGCACCAUGGACAAAGGGUUAUUGGUGGGGCUCAAUGCCUGCACCAUGAAUCCACUGCUCCUGGAGGCCACUUUUUUCCCCUUUUGUUGCCCUUGUUGAUUCAUCGUUGCCGUGGUUAUCAUUAUUGUUGUUAUUGAUGUCGUUGUUGUUGGAUAGGACAAAGAGAAAUGGAGAGAGGAGGGGAAG